rnacentral:sRNA from 1 species
CUUUAUCUGCUAACGACUUUUCGCAAAUACAUGUGGGAAUA